UACGUAGGGUGCGAGCGUUAAUCGGAAUUACUGGGCGUAAAGAGUGCGUAGGCGGUUCUUUGUGUCCGCUGUGAAAGCCCCGGGCUUAACCUGGGAAUGGCAGUGGAAACUAGAGAACUUGAAUCUGGCAGAGGGGGUGGAAUGCCACGGUGUAGCAGUGAAAUGCGUAGAUAUGUGGCGGAACACCGAUGGCGAAGGCAGCCCCUGGGCUGAGAUUGACGCUCAGGCACGAAAGCGUGGGGAGCAAACAGG
rnacentral:rRNA from 1 species